CAGGGAUUGCCCUAGUAACGGCGAGUGAAGCGGCAACAGCUCAAAUUUGAAAUCUGGCCCUAGCGGUCCGAGUUGUAAUUUGUAGAGGAUGCUUUUGGUUAGGUGCCUUCUGAGUUCCCUGGAACGGGACGCCAGAGAGGGUGAGAGCCCCGUACGGUUGGACACCGAGCCUCUAUAUAGCUCCUUCGACGAGUCGAGUAGUUUGGGAAUGCUGCUCUAAAUGGGAGGUAAAUUUCUUCUAAAGCUAAAUACCGGCCAGAGACCGAUAGCGCACAAGUAGAGUGAUCGAAAGAUGAAAAGUACUUUGAAAAGAGGGUUAAAUAGCACGUGAAAUUGUUGAAAGGGAAGCGUUUGCGACCAGACUUUUUCCAGGCGGAUCAUCCGGUGUUCUCACCGGUGCACUUCGCCUGGUUUAGGCCAGCAUCGGUUCUCUUAGGGGGAUAAAGGCCUGGGGAACGUAGCUCCUUCGGGAGUGUUAUAGCCCCUAGCGUAAUACCCUUCGGGGGACCGAGGAACGC
rnacentral:rRNA from 1 species